rnacentral:lncRNA from 1 species
AUUCUCCUUAAUACCCAUCACCUAUUUAACCCAUUCCCCCCACCUACCACCCCUCUAGCCGCCUUCAGUUUGUUCUCUAUAGUUAAGAGUCUGUUUUUUUUUUUUUUUUUUUUUUUUUUUUUUUUUUUUUUUUUUUUUUUUUUUUUUUUUUUUUUUUUUUUUUUUUUUUUUUUUUUUUUUUUUUUUUUUUUUUUUUUUUUUUUUUUUUUUUUUUUUUUUUUUUUUUUUUUUUUUUUUUUUUUUUUUUUUUUUUUUUUUUUUUUUUUUUUUUUUUUUUUUUUUUUUUUUUUUUUUUUUUUUUUUUUUUUUUUUUUUUUUUUUUUUUUUUUUUUUUUUUUUUUUUUUUUUUUUUUUUUUUUUUUUUUUUUUUUUUUUUUUUUUUUUUUUUUUUUUUUUUUUUUUUUUUUUUUUUUUUUUUUUUUUUUUUUUUUUUUUUUUUUUUUUUUUUUUUUUUUUUUUUUUUUUUUUUUUUUUUUUUUUUUUUUUUUUUUUUUUUUUUUUUUUUUUUUUUUUUUUUUUUUUUUUUUUUUUUUUUUUUUUUUUUUUUUUUUUUUUUUUUUUUUUUUUUUUUUUUUUUUUUUUUUUUUUUUUUUUUUUUUUUUUUUUUUUUUUUUUUUUUUUUUUUUUUUUUUUUUUUUUUUUUUUUUUUUUUUUUUUUUUUUUUUUUUUUUUUUUUUUUUUUUUUUUUUUUUUUUUUUUUUUUUUUUUUUUUUUUUUUUUUUUUUUUUUUUUUUUUUUUUUUUUUUUUUUUUUUUUUUUUUUUUUUUUUUUUUUUUUUUUUUUUUUUUUUUUUUUUUUUUUUUUUUUUUUUUUUUUUUUUUUUUUUUUUUUUUUUUUUUUUUUUUUUUUUUUUUUUUUUUUUUUUUUUUUUUUUUUUUUUUUUUUUUUUUUUUUUUUUUUUUUUUUUUUUUUUUUUUUUUUUUUUUUUUUUUUUUUUUUUUUUUUUUUUUUUUUUUUUUUUUUUUUUUUUUUUUUUUUUUUUUUUUUUUUUUUUUUUUUUUUUUUUUUUUUUUUUUUUUUUUUUUUUUUUUUUUUUUUUUUUUUUUUUUUUUUUUUUUUUUUUUUUUUUUUUUUUUUUUUUUUUUUUUUUUUUUUUUUUUUUUUUUUUUUUUUUUUUUUUUUUUUUUUUUUUUUUUUUCCAUAAGUUGGCUAUUUUUGAUAAUGCUGCCAUAAAUAUCGGGGUGCAUGUAUCCCUUUGACUCAGUAUUUUUGUAUACUUUGGGUAAAUAUCUAGGAUUUCAAU